UGUGUGAGCCCUCAGGGCUUUCUUGUGUGUAUGGUCUUGGUUUUAAUGAGCAAGGUGCUUCUUUGACCCCUUCAUGUCGCAGCUACGAUGAGGUUAUUGCGUGGUUAGAAAAUCCAGGUCAUGCUCCGCUGAUCGACUCAGCUGUUUCAAUGAGGUGAGUGGACUGGUCCCUCCCCUCCAAGCAGUCGCAGCAGAUGCUGCCCCUCCCUUACCCUCGGCUCAUCUAAGCUUCUCCAAAGCAGCCUUGCUAUCAUCUACAUACUCUAAUACUCCCACAGAGACCAGAGCUGUUUGCCUAUUUCAGCUGAGCAGAGGAGAUCACAACUACCAGUCUAUCCAUCUAUCCUCAGAGUCCCAUGAGUCCAGCAAAGCUUCUACCAAUGUCCCUGUGGUAAUGACUAAAGUGGGGCCUCCAUCAGAACUGAUAACAAUUCUCAAUCCAUCAAAUGGUAAUGUGUUUAUGCAGUUGAACUGUGUAUACUGCCCUGCAAAAGCAAAACAGAGAAAAUACCCAUUUAAAGUUUAAAGUGAGGAAAUCUCAUUUUUGGAUUUAUGCUUAAAAUAUUUUUCUGCAAAUUUGACUAUAAAAAUUAUUCCUUUUGCUGAUACACUACUCAUUUGCUCCUGCAUACUCAUGUCAUACCGUGCUCUUGUGAACUAACUGUGAUGCAUUACUGCUUCAAAGUGUAUCAGCUCUCUGAUAACAGUUUGACUGCGGGUCACCUUUGGAUACUCUGCAUUACCUUCAACAGCAUGUUUAAGGUGGUCCAAGUCACUACCUGCCAGUUUUCAUGCUUUACCAACAUAAAACCAUUAAAAUAUUCAAAAUCUGAACAUCUGAGUCUUUGCUGUCACCUUACUCCUGAAUAACUCAGUGUCACUCCAACUUCUACAUCUGCACUGUUAUGUACACUGGGGUUCCCAACGGAGGUUUGUUUACACUGCAUCCCACCCCAGCUCUUCUCUAUGACAGGCACUGGCGUCAUCACAACAAACCACAUUGUUGCCCGGCAUCCUGAGGCCACUGGUAUGUGUUGGCGGUAUUGUUAAUUCCACGUGUUUCACUACCAUACAAUCGUUAACAAAGCAUUACUUAUACAUGACAUCACUGGCAGGAAUAUUAAUUUUAAGUUCUUUACUUAGAUAUGGCAAAAUUUUAGGACUUAGUGUGGCUUGGACACUUCUGUGGUGGUGAGCUUGCUGUUACAUAUCAUCCUGACAUUGUGGUUUAAGAGCUGUCUGUACCUUCUGUCACCUCUUUUGAAAGUGUUUUUUUUUUUUUACAUUGGCUGGUUUUAUGCAGGUGUAGGUGAUUCUGGUUUAGCACCUGCCAGAAGCUUACACUGUCUUCAGUUUUGGGCUGCCUGAGCUGCUUAUCUUCGUUACCUCCUUGGGGACGUCAAUGUCCAUGCUUAUAACAGCCCCUGUCCUGCAGAAUUUAUGUCACUCUUAGACUGCUACAGCAUGUAAAAGACCCCACUCAUGUCAAAGGUUAUGCACCAGACUUAGUGUUUUCCACUGGUACAACCCCCACUGGCCCACAGUGUAUUAAAAUCGCUGUCUCUGAUUACCACAUCAUUCUUUUCUCUGCUUCUGUCCUCCUUUCCCAGGCAGUGUCAGGUAUACAUCACAUACAGGAACAUCAAGUCUGUUAAUACAUCAGAUCUAGCCAGCAUCACUGGGAUUUACUUGACCUCUGACACUCCCAACCGCAAAGUGGCGUAUUACAGUAGUGUGCUGUCUCAAUGAUUUGACUCUAUGGUUUCAUCCUUUGUCUUGUGCCCGGACUACAUCACAGAAACUGGAAUGUUCUUAUCAAGAGCACAAAUGACCUCCUCAUUGCUGCGGACUCUUCCCACGUCAGCAUUUUUGUUCUCUUGUACCUUUCAGCAGCUUUUGUCACUCAUUCCAUCAUUCCUGAGGGUUUAUCUAACUAAGUUGGUCUCACUGGUGUAGCGUCCUUUCAGUCUUAGUCUUGCCUUAGUGGCAGGACACACUGUCACCUGCUGAGACUCGUGGUCUUCCUCUGCUCCAGUCAAACAAGAAGUCCCUCAAGGAUCUCUGCUGGGGCCUCUUCUUUUCAUCAUUUGCAUGAAAAUUUCCCAUCUGCAACACUUGUUCAUCCUCUCAUUCUCAUCACAUAUUCUAGCCAGUGCCCUCAGACUCGGCAGUGGACACCCUGUAUGCCCUCAUCACCUCCUACUUUGACCUCUAUAAAUGCAUUCCUAUUUGGUCUCACUAUCAAAGCCUUGGAUGUGCUGAACUAUGUUCAGAACUCAGCUGUCAGAAUUCAUAGCCACACUAAGUCCUGGCAACCCAUCACCCCCACCUUCUCUGCUUCCAAUAACGCAUAAUGAAGUCCCACAUCUAUAAAAUCUUUCAGCUUGCUAUCUGUUCUUCUCUUUAAACCUACACCCCAUCCCAGACUUGCAGACAAAGGCUUGCUUUUCAUCCCUCACACCAAAAUACAGUCUUUCAGGGACAAAAUCUUCAGUGCUGCUGCCUCUCUGCAACCGGCUCCUCCUCUCUCUCCUCUCUCCUUCUCUGGGAGGUCCAGAGA